CGGACGUUUAGGCUUCGUUUCCGCCUGGAGGGCCGAGGCGACGUCGUAAAAUCCUGGAAACGGAUUUGAAGCACCGUAACAGCAAAACGAAGACCCUUUUUACCCGGGGCUGCGAAGCGAUGCGCGGUUGGUGAGUAAUUUCGAGUUCGGGCCGAACCGGGCACCGGGUGCCGCGGGAGGCCGAUUGCAAGUGUCGACAAGCAAUCGGAACGCGAAUCAAGGUUCGCACGUGAGCGGCGCGGCGGCGCGAGGCAAGGGCGUAGCUUCGUAGAUAGCGCCCUACCCAGAGACCAGAGUUAGCAGUACCCCGUCGACAAAGCUUAGGGGUAUGGGGUGUUAUUAAUGAAAA